rnacentral:misc_RNA from 1 species
ACAAACUUGGUCAUUUAGAGGAAGUAAAAGUCGUAACAAGGUUUCCGUAGGUGAACCUGCGGAAGGAUCAUUACUGAAUUUAACGAUGCUGCUGAUGCUGGCGUUUCGGCGCAUGUGCUCGCAGUGUCAAAUUCAACCCUUUACCACCUGUGCACCUUCGUAGACGAUCAUACCUCUCAACGAUCUCCCGAUCGUUGGAUAGAGGGACUUGCGCCUCAGCUGUCCUUCAAUUUGGUCGUCUAUUUACCUCCCUAUAAACAAGUUUAGAAUGUCCUUUUGUGGGUCGCAAGACCUAUAAAAACUUAUACAACUUUCAACAACGGAUCUCUUGGCUCUCGCAUCGAUGAAGAACGCAGC